rnacentral:rRNA from 1 species
CGUGCAGGUGGUUCGGUAAGUUGGAUGUGAAAGCUCCUGGCUCAACUGGGAGAGGUCGUUCAAUACUACCGGACUUGAGAGCAGUAGAGGGAGGUGGAAUUCCCGGUGUAGUGGUGAAAUGCGUAGAUAUCGGGAGGAACACCAGUGGCGAAAGCGGCCUCCUGGACUGUUUCUGACACUCAGACGCGAAAGCUAGGGUAGCAAACGGGAUUAGAGACCCCGGUAGUCCUAGCUGUAAACGAUGUGAACUUGGCGUCGGCGGGUUCAAAGCCGUCGGUGCCGAAGCUAACGCGAUAAGUUCACCGCCUGGGGACUACGGCCGCAAGGUUAAA